rnacentral:rRNA from 1 species
GACGAACGCUGGCGGCGUGCUUAACACAUGCAAGUCGAACGGAAAGGCCCUGCUUUUGUGGGGUGCUCGAGUGGCGAACGGGUGAUUAACACGUGAGUAACCUGCCCUUGACUUUGGGAUAACUUCAGGAAACUGGGGCUAAUACCGGAUCGGAGCUCCUGCUGCAUGGUGGGGGUUGGAAAGUUUCGGCGGUUGGGGAUGGACUCGCGGCUUAUCAGGUUGUUGGUGGGGUAGUGGCUUACCAAGGCUUUGACGGGUAGCCGGCCUGAGAGGGUGACCGGCCACAUGGGGACUGAGGUAGGGACCAGACUGCAACGGGAGGCAGCAGUGGGGAAUAUUGUACAAUGGGGGGAAGCCUGAUGCAGCAACGCCGCGUGCGGGAUGAGGGCCUUCGGGUUGUAAACCGCUUUCGCCUGUGACGAAGCGUGAGUGACGGUAAUGGGUAAAGAAGCACCGGCUAACUACGUG